rnacentral:rRNA from 1 species
UGGGGAAUAUUGGACAAUGGGCGAAAGCCUGAUCCAGCAAUGCCGCGUGAGUGAUGAAGGCCUUAGGGUUGUAAAGCUCUUUUACCAGGGAUGAUAAUGACAGUACCUGGAGAAUAAGCUCCGGCUAACUCCGUGCCAGCAGCCGCGGUAAUACGGAGGGAGCUAGCGUUGUUCGGAAUUACUGGGCGUAAAGCGCGCGUAGGCGGUUUAUCAAGUCAGGGGUGAAAUCCCGGGGCUCAACCCCGGAACUGCCUGUGAAACUGGUUCACUAGAAUCCUGGAGAGGCGAGUGUAAUUCCGAGUGUAGAGGUGAAAUUCGUAGAUAUUCGGAAGAACACCAGUGGCGAAGGCGACUCGCUGGACAGGUAUUGACGCUGAGGUGCGAAAGCGUGGG